GUGGCCUAGUGGUAGAGCGUCCACCUCGAAUGCGGGAGGUCGCGGUUCGAACCACUGCCAAACCA